CCCUCCCUCUCUAGCUCCUCACCCCUGGCGGCGCUCCCUCUCCUCUCACCGGCCUAUGGCGUCCCAAGCCCUCGCCGCCGUCUACUCCUUUCUUCUGGAGCCUUCAUUCAGGCAUAGAGGCAGAGAGCCGGAGGACGCGGCCAUUGUCCUCGCCCCUAGGCACCCGCGCUGCAGGGACGAGUGUGGAGGCUGCAGCGCUCUGCCUCCCCGCCCUACUGGCCUACUGCUCCACCACGGAGCCCCCUUCUCCACAUCGUCCCCCAUCGCUUUUCCUCUCGCCCUCCAGGGCGCUCGACAGGUGGAGCGCAAUUACCGUCCAUCGAGCGAGGGAUGACCGCCAGUCUGCACAAGAGACGGGUGGGGACUUCCAUUGGAUGGUUGCUCAGGGUAUUGCAACUGAGCUGUUGUUGUACUUGAUGUUGCUUCCACCAGCUGAGCGGCGAAGCGAAGUUGAUGCAGCUGAUAAUAUUGGAGCUACUGUGAGGAGGUACUGGGCUGGCCAUGCCUCCAUUAUCCAGCGUUCAUGUUUCAGAUUUGUUCCAGUAGCAUGUGAAGUUUGGAUUUAUUUAUUGAAGCUAGAAUAUCAGUGCUUAGCUUUUAUUCCCUACCGUCUGCUAGCUAGAUUAGAAGAAAUAGAUAGAAAAUAAGCAAAUGUAUUUCAUAUAUGGAAACAGUAGCACCAAUUUCCUCAGUACUACUUUAUUAAAAUGCGCAAUUGAAAUUGCCACACAUUUUGUGCAGGCGAGUUAACCAAUGUUUUCCAUUCCAUAUUCAUAAUUGGGAACUAUUACAGAUUUAUAAACAACCUUGGUUGGUGUAUUCUAUUUCAUGACUUAUUUGCAAUUUUGUAAUUAUUUUUGACUGCCAUGACCACUAACGUGCUUUCUUUGUAAUUGUAGCAAUAGGUAGUUGUAGUGCUUUGAUUGAUCGUAAUUGCAGGAUAAAUGCCAGGUUCUUUGUUUCUCUCUUGGUUCUAGGUCGCUCAUUCUUGCUCUUAUAUCUGGUUUCAUGGUUGUGUGAGAUUUGGAAGAUUGAAAUCUAUGAAUGGUUUCAGGAGAUGGACCUGCUGUUGGAUCACGUAGAGGUUUUUAAUCCUAUUUGUGAAAUUUGCAGUAGGACUUGGUUAGAAUAUUUGAAAAUGGAACGAAACUACCAAUAUUGCCUUAGUUGCUGCAGGGGUGUUAGGUCUCUGGUCAUUGUUCCUUUUGAACUGAAUCAUAGAGAGAUUGAAGCAUUGCAUGUAUUCAUUGUUCCAAUACUUGUUGAGACAAUUGAUGAAGCAUAUCCAGUCGUACAUCUUUGAUGAUAAGUUAUCAAUUUCGAGACAUGUUGUGUAUAUUGUUCCUUUAAAGCCCAUGGUGUUGUUUCUUACCUGAUAAUGGUGGUUCAAACCUUAGUUUCGACAGUGAAUCUUUAGUCUUCUUUUAGCAAAAGAAUGGCGUUGAAAAAUAUAUGCCCGAGGAGUUUGAAAAGGCCACAGGAACAAGUCGUAGCUUCGAUGCCUAUGGCAGGUUCAGGCCACUGAUGACUUAUGUACUCAUGGCUGGAUUCUCAGGAAGGAUGCCUACACUUCAGUCUAUUCUCUGCUGCCACACCUGCAGAUCAUGAAAGGGGCAUUGACCCUUGCAGCCAUCUUAGAUUUGUUGCUUCCCCCCUACAACUUUGGGGAGUGGCGAUCUAGGAGAUACUCUCUGUGACGGACAGUAGUUGAUGUCACCUCCAUAGUGAUGCAUUCAACCUCCCGUUGUUCACGAUUACUUGAUUAUUCUGUCCAACUUUUGACGUGUGUAAAAAAUCAGAUAAGUUGUGUGUUGAUUAAUUCAAGCUAAGAUCUAGCCUUGUUUGUAAAAUAAAUCUGUUUACGCAUCAAUAUUAUU